GGGUAGGGUAGCCCGGUUAACACAUCCCGACGAGGUCGGGAAAAUCGCGGGUUCGAAUCCCGUCGGCCCCGCCA
rnacentral:tRNA from 1 species